rnacentral:rRNA from 3 species
AGAGUUUGAUCAUGGCUCAGAUUGAACGCUGGCGGCAGGCCUAACACAUGCAAGUCGAGCGGUAGCACAGAGAGCUUGCUCUCGGGUGACGAGCGGCGGACGGGUGAGUAAUGUCUGGGAAACUGCCUGAUGGAGGGGGAUAACUACUGGAAACGGUAGCUAAUACCGCAUAACGUCGCAAGACCAAAGUGGGGGACCUUCGGGCCUCAUGCCAUCAGAUGUGCCCAGAUGGGAUUAGCUAGUAGGUGGGGUAACGGCUCACCUAGGCGACGAUCCCUAGCUGGUCUGAGAGGAUGACCAGCCACACUGGAACUGAGACACGGUCCAGACUCCUACGGGAGGCAGCAGUGGGGAAUAUUGCACAAUGGGCGCAAGCCUGAUGCAGCCAUGCCGCGUGUGUGAAGAAGGCCUUCGGGUUGUAAAGCACUUUCAGCGGGGAGGAAGGCGUUGAGGUUAAUAACCUUGUCGAUUGACGUUACCCGCAGAAGAAGCACCGGCUAACUCCGUGCCAGCAGCCGCGGUAAUACGGAGGGUGCAAGCGUUAAUCGGAAUUACUGGGCGUAAAGCGCACGCAGGCGGUCUGUCAAGUCGGAUGUGAAAUCCCCGGGCUUAACCUGGGAACUGCAUUCGAAACUGGCAGGCUAGAGUCUUGUAGAGGGGGGUAGAAUUCCAGGUGUAGCGGUGAAAUGCGUAGAGAUCUGGAGGAAUACCGGUGGCGAAGGCGGCCCCCUGGACAAAGACUGACGCUCAGGUGCGAAAGCGUGGGGAGCAAACAGGAUUAGAUACCCUGGUAGUCCACGCCGUAAACGAUGUCGAUUUGGAGGUUGUGCCCUUGAGGCGUGGCUUCCGGAGCUAACGCGUUAAAUCGACCGCCUGGGGAGUACGGCCGCAAGGUUAAAACUCAAAUGAAUUGACGGGGGCCCGCACAAGCGGUGGAGCAUGUGGUUUAAUUCGAUGCAACGCGAAGAACCUUACCUGGUCUUGACAUCCACAGAACUUUGCAGAGAUGGUUUGGUGCCUUCGGGAACUGUGAGACAGGUGCUGCAUGGCUGUCGUCAGCUCGUGUUGUGAAAUGUUGGGUUAAGUCCCGCAACGAGCGCAACCCUUAUCCUUUGUUGCCAGCGGUCCGGCCGGGAACUCAAAGGAGACUGCCAGUGAUAAACUGGAGGAAGGUGGGGAUGACGUCAAGUCAUCAUGGCCCUUACGACCAGGGCUACACACGUGCUACAAUGGCAUAUACAAAGAGAAGCGACCUCGCGAGAGCAAGCGGACCUCAUAAAGUAUGUCGUAGUCCGGAUUGGAGUCUGCAACUCGACUCCAUGAAGUCGGAAUCGCUAGUAAUCGUAGAUCAGAAUGCUACGGUGAAUACGUUCCCGGGCCUUGUACACACCGCCCGUCACACCAUGGGAGUGGGUUGCAAAAGAAGUAGGUAGCUUAACCUUCGGGAGGGCGCUUACCACUUUGUGAUUCAUGACUGGGGUGAAGUCGUAACAAGGUAACCGUAGGGGAACCUGCGGUUGGAUCACCU